rnacentral:rRNA from 1 species
AGUGAACGCUGGCGGUAGGCCCAACACAUGCAAGUCGAACGGCAGCACAGUAAGCGCUUGCUCUUACGGGUGGCGAGUGGCGGACGGGUGAGGAAUACAUCGGAAUCUACUUUUUCGUGGGGGAUAACGUAGGGAAACUUACGCUAAUACCGCAUACGACCUACGGGUGAAAGCAGGGGAUCUUCGGACCUUGCGCGAUUGUAUGAGCCGAUGUCGGAUUAGCUAGUUGGCGGGGUAAAGGCCCACCAAGGCGACGAUCCGUAGCUGGUCUGAGAGGAUGAUCAGCCACACUGGAACUGAGACACGGUCCAGACUCCUGCGGGAGGCAGCAGUGGGGAAUAUUGGACAAUGGGCGCAAGCCUGAUCCAGCCAUACCGCGUGGGUGAAGAAGGCCUUCGGGUUGUAAAGCCCUUUUGUUGGGAAAGAAAAGCAGCAGGUUAAUACCCCGCUGUUCUGACGGUACCCAAAGAAUAAGCACCGGCUAACUUCGUG